rnacentral:rRNA from 1 species
CAGCAGCCGCGGUAAAACGGAGGGUGCAAGCGUUAAUCGGAAUUACUGGGCGUAAAGCGUGCGUAGGCGGCUUUUUAAGUCGGAUGUGAAAUCCCUGAGCUUAACUUAGGAAUUGCAUUCGAUACUGGGAAGCUAGAGUAUGGGAGAGGAUGGUAGAAUUCCAGGUGUAGCGGUGAAAUGCGUAGAGAUCUGGAGGAAUACCGAUGGCGAAGGCAGCCAUCUGGCCUAAUACUGACGCUGAGGUACGAAAGCAUGGGGAGCAAACAGGAUUAGAUACCCCCGUAGUCCCUGUCUCUUAUAC